UUCUCCACCAAAAAUGUCAUACACCAACUUUUAAGUCACCCGCAACACAGUUGAGGAGAAAUUCUAGUUUUUAAUUGGUUUUCCAGCACGAAGUAAAUUCUCACAGCCACUACAACCUAACGUUAUGCCAGCCAUCUUUUCUGGAAAACUUGCCAGUCACGGGUAUGCACAUACCCAGAUCCCUGCUUUUUCAGAGGAGCUAUGACAGCUUCUCCAUCCUUAUCCAACACUCUACUGUCACCAAAAAAAAAAAAAAGUGUCUUUGCACAGACAAAUAAGGAGAUAAGAAAUUUUCUGACAAACUGUUACAGGAAUCAGUCCUUUUUUAUGUCAGUAUGCAGCAUUUUAGGAACAGGGCAGUAGCUCCUUCUGGAGUUGGUGGCCCAGGAACGCUCCAUCUUCCCUUAUUUAUUCCAAAAUGGAAAACUUAUUCUAUACUAACUUAAAAAGAUUCACCAUUGUCAAACAGGUCUUUGAUUACUGUUUGACCUCCUCCAGUGAAACCUUCCAAAAUCCCUAGCAUCCACGCUACUGAAGACUUGCCCUGCCCUGCAAUAUUUUGAUUGAAACUAGCUGUACAUGAAAUGGAAUUUUUUCUUCAGAAGCCGGAUUAUGUCUGUGGCUUCGAAUACCUAGGGAACAUCCACCUGUGCAGCAGUGAAAAAGGCGAGAUCUCUCUCACAGGAGGGAUACCAGGAUCCUUCUCCUUAAUCUCCAUUUUUACCAAAGAACUAGAAGUAAUGCUAUUGUUAUAUGAUACAUUUAGUUCCUUUUUGGUUUUUUUUAGUUUACACUUCUGUUACUUAUUGAAAUAAAACUUCCUAUAUGGAACUUCCUAUAAUAAUCAAUACUUCAUGUAUUGUAAUAGAUCCUGAGGACUGCAUUGAUGCACCGUUUACUUUUUCUACAUUGAUAGAUGAAAACUACAGUAUAUACGCUACUAACACCAGUCUACCAUGCCUGCCAAUUGAAGGGGCAUACUUGUUCUCCUCAGCGUGCUGUUGUAUUUAUGAAUUAUCAUUAUACCAGUCCAUAAACCAGUAUGAUGAGAUUUUAUCAGUACUACCUAAAGAGUGCUGAUUGACCUUUGCCCAGAAGACUUCUCUUUAACAAGAACAAAGAUGAAGACAUCAAGAUAUUUACAUUAUGAACUUUACCAUUUUUAAUCAUUUUUCUGUAUAAAUUCACAAUAAAGACA
rnacentral:lncRNA from 1 species